UACGUAGGGUCCGAGCGUUGUCCGGAAUUAUUGGGCGUAAAGGGCGCGUAGGCGGUCGUGCAAGUGGAAGGUGAAAUCCCUCGGCUCAACCGAGGAACUGCCUUUCAAACUGCAUGACUUGAGUCCGGGAGAGGUGAGUGGAAUUCCCAGUGUAGCGGUGAAAUGCGUAGAUAUUGGGAGGAACACCAGUGGCGAAGGCGGCUCACUGGACCGGAACUGACGCUGAGGCGCGAAAGCGUGGGGAGCAAACGGG
rnacentral:rRNA from 1 species